rnacentral:rRNA from 1 species
ACUGCGAAUGGCUCAUUAAAUCAGUUAUCGUUUAUUUGAUAGUACCUUACUACAUGGAUAACCGUGGUAAUUCUAGAGCUAAUACAUGCUAAAAACCUCGACUUCGGAAGGGGUGUAUUUAUUAGAUAAAAAACCAAUGCCCUCCGGGGCUCCUUGGUGAUUCAUAAUAACUUCUCAGAUCGCAUGGCCUUGCGCCGGCGACGGUUCAUUCAAAUUUCUGCCCUAUCAACUUUCGAUGGUAAGGUAUUGGCUUACCAUGGUUUCAACGGGUAACGGGGAAUUAGGGUUCGAUUCCGGAGAGGGAGCCUGAGAAACGGCUACCACAUCCAAGGAAGGCAGCAGGCGCGCAAAUUACCCAAUCCCGAUACGGGG